UUGGCUCAGGAUGAACGCUGGCGGCGUGCCUAACACAUGCAAGUCGAACGAAGCAUCUUCCUCAGAGAUUCGUCGAAGAGGGAUUUGACUUAGUGGCGGACGGGUGAGUAAUGUAUGAGCAACCUGCCUUUCAGAGGGGGACAACAGUUGGAAACGACUGCUAAUACCGCAUAAUGUAUCGAGAGGGCAUCCUUUUGAUACCAAAGGAGCAAUCCGCUGGAAGAUGGGCUCAUAUCUGAUUAGUUAGUUGGUAGGGUAACGGCCUACCAAGACUGCGAUCAGUAGCCGGACUGAGAGGUUGAACGGCCACAUUGGGACUGAGAUACGGCCCAGACUCCUACGGGAGGCAGCAGUGGGGAAUA
rnacentral:rRNA from 1 species